UACGUAGGUGACAAGCGUUGUCCGGAUUUACUGGGCGUAAAGAGCGCGCAGGCGGUCGUUCAAGUCGAGUGUGAAAGCCCCCGGCUCAACUGGGGAGGGUCAUUCGAUACUGAUCGACUCGAAGGCAGGAGAGGGAAGUGGAAUUCCCGGUGUAGUGGUGAAAUGCGUAGAUAUCUGGAGGAACACCGGUGGCGAAGGCGGCGAUCUGGACGAUGACUGACGCUGAGACGCGAAAGCGUGGGGAGCAAACAGG
rnacentral:rRNA from 1 species